AUUGAACGUUGGCGGCAUGCCUUACACAUGCAAGUCGAACGGCAGCACGGGUGCUUGCACCUGGUGGCGAGUGGCGAACGGGUGAGUAAUACAUCGGAACGUACCUUAUCGUGGGGGAUAACGCAGCGAAAGCUGUGCUAAUACCGCAUACGCCCUGAGGGGGAAAGCGGGGGAUCGCAAGACCUCGCGCGAUUAGAGCGGCCGAUGCCUGAUUAGCUUGUUGGUGGGGUAAAAGCCCACCAGGGCGACGAUCAGUAGCUGGUCUGAGAGGACGAUCAGCCACACUGGGACUGAGACACGGCCCAGACUCCUACGGGAGGCAGCAGUGGGGAAUUUUGGACAAUGGGGGCAACCCUGAUCCAGCAAUGCCGCGUGAGUGAAGAAGGCCUUCGGGUUGUAAAGCUCUUUUGUCAGGGAAGAAACACCGGCUCUAACACAGUCCAGGAAUGACGGUACCUGAAGAAUAAGCACCGGCUAACUACGUGCCAGCCGCCGCCGUAA
rnacentral:rRNA from 1 species